ensembl:lncRNA MIR3681HG MIR3681 host gene
GGAAGAGACCAGAGAGACCAGAGACCAGAGCUGAUGAAGACGCUGAGGUUAAGAAACAAGUGACUGCUAUGAGAUCAUAAAGAAAAUGCAUAAGUGGUGGAAACAAUUAGAAAAUAGGUGUUUUGAUUUUAAGUUGCAAGUGCUCUCCAUUCCACAAAGAUAUUGGAAAUGGCUUGAAGGAGGGUCCAUGGAGUAUCUUCUCUAAAUUCUCCACAGCACUUUAUACAGCUCCAAAUGCAUAAUGAAACUUAAAUAAAUCUUACUGAAUUAAAAAGAAGGAAAAAACAUGAGAGGAAGUCAUCGAGAAUGGAGAGAGGGAGAGAAAUAGAAAUAGAGGGAAGAUUAUAAAGAUGAAAAGGACAAGAAGAACAGUCCAUAUUUAUAAAAUAUUUUAGAAGAAAAAUAAAAUUUCCUUCUACGUGCUGUCAGGACAUGCUUUUUAAUUUGUGGAAGUCACACACUGCAGAUGUUGCCUUCCGGGUUGCUGGUAGGAUCACCAUGACAAAGGCGCUGCCUCAUCUAUAAAUAGACGGUCAGAUUGAUUUCACAUCCUGCCCUGGUUCUUCCGACUGCUUGAUGGGCGUGACAACACAAUCGAUGAGUGAUCCCAUCCACUCUGCCUGCACAGGCCUCGCCUGCACUGUCUUCUGGAAGAUGACAAUCAGGCUCAUUAAAUCCAGCACAAAGAAGCUUCAAAGACGUUUGUCCUAUCAGAGAAAUUGAGCCUGAGUCCUUUGCCAUUGCAUCAAAAGGAAUUGAGAUUUAAUCAGCCAUCCCGUCCAAACCUAUUGCUAGUAAGACAGUUUGGAUCUUUCCUUUGCCUGUUUGGAUCGAUGUUAACUGGAACUUCAAUGGCCAGAGCUGAUGUCCGUUCCAGCCCAGGAGCCUUCAUCUACCACAUAAGAAUUGCAGCAAACCCUGCAGCUAUCCUGAAGCUGCCAUGCUGAAAAGGCCAAUUGGGAGACCACAUAGAGACCGAGAGAGACUUCCAAGGACUCCAGCCAAUCCUGGGCCCCAGCAGUUUGAAUCUCCCAGCAAUGCCACCAUACAGGAGAGGGAGCAAAUACUCAGAAGAUUCAAGUGCCAGCUGCAUGGGUUGAUACCUACAUAAAAGGCAUUGGCAUUAUUCACAAGAGCCAAGAUAUGGAAAUAACCUGUGUCCAUUGACAGACGAAUAGAUGAGGGAAACGUGGCAUAUACACACAGUGGAAUAUUAUUCGGAAUUAAAAAAAGAAGGAAAUCCUGAAUCCUGCUAUUUCUGACAACAUGAGACUGCAGGACGUUAUGAAAAUGGCCACAUCAUGCUCUUCUAGAACUUUCUCAUCCCUCAGUCAAGAGGUGGAGCCUAUUUACCCUUGACCUUGAAAUUGAUCAGGACUUUGUCACUGCCUUGCUCUUAACAUCACCAUGCUGGAGAAAUAGCAUGGCAAGGCCAGCUGGUGAUAGAGAAAGAUGCCUAAGGAGCUCCAGCUGCUAUUUUCCCUGGAUUUUUGAGUCUUCCCAGUCCAGCCAGACAUAUGACUGGGCAAAACCCUCAGGUAACUACAGCCUUAUCCACUGUCUGACUAUCACAAAAUGAGAGACCUUGGGUGAGGACCACCUACCUGAGCCCAGUCAUCCUGCAGAGAUGCGAGAAAAAUAAGAAUGUCAUUAUUGUUAUUUUAAAAUCACUGAGUUUGGGUUAAUUUGUAUGCAGCAAUAGAUAACUGGGACACAAAGAUAGACUGUAAAAAAAUAAAGAGGGAAUGGUUAAGCUAAAAA